CGAGCCCGGAGAUAGCUGGUUCUCCCCGAAAUAGCUUUAGGGCUAGCCUCAAGGUGAGAGAUACGGAGGUAGAGCACUGAAUGUCCUAGGGGGUAUUGCACCUACCGAAGACUAUUAAACUCCGAAUGCCGUCAUCUUAUACUUGGGAGUCAGACUGUGGGUGAUAAGAUUCAUAGUCGAAAGGGCAACAGCCCAGAUCGUCAGCUAAGGUCCCUAAAUGUAAGUUAAGUGGUAAAGGAUGUGGGAUUGCACAGACAACCAGGAUGUUGGCUUAGAAGCA
rnacentral:rRNA from 1 species